rnacentral:rRNA from 1 species
UACGGAGGGUGCAAGCGUUAUUCGGAAUGACUGGGCGUAAAGCGCGCGUAGGCGGCUUUUUAAGUCCGAUGUGAAAGCCCCGAACUCAAUUUGGGAAGUGCAUUGGAUACUGAGAAGCUAGAGUACAGGAGAGGAGAGCGGAAUUCCAGGUGUAGAGGUGAAAUUCGUAGAUAUCUGGAGGAACAACGGAGGCGAAGGCGGCUCUCUGGACUGUAACUGACGCUGAGGUGCGAAAGCGUGGGUAGCAAACAGG